CGGGUGAGUAAUGUCUGGGAAACGUGCCUGAUGGAGGGGGAUAACUGCUGGAAACGGUAGCUAAUACCGCAUAACGUCGCAAGACCAAAGAGGGGGACCUUCGGGCCUCUUGCCAUCGGAUGUGCCCAGAUGGGAUUAGCUAGUAGGUGGGGUAACGGCUCACCUAGGCGACGAUCCCUAGCUGGUCUGAGAGGAUGACCAGCCACACUGGAACUGAGACACGGUCCAG
rnacentral:rRNA from 1 species